GAUGAACGCUAGCGACAGGCUUAACACAUGCAAGUCGAGGGGCAGCGAGGGCGUAGCAAUACGCCUGUCGGCGACCGGCGCACUGGUGAGUAACACGUAUGCGACCUGCCCCCUACAGGGGUAUAACCCGUAGAAAUGCGGACUAAUCCCCCAUAGUCCUGGGUGCUGCAUGGCAUUCAGGGGAAAGGCCAGCCGGUAGGGGAUGGGCAUGCGGCGCAUUAGCUAGUUGGCGGGGCAACGGCCCACCAAGGCGACGAUGCGUAGGGGUUCUGAGAGGAAGGUCCCCCACACUGGUACUGAGACACGGACCAGACUCCUACGGGAGGCAGCAGUGAGGAAUAUUGGUCAAUGGGCGCAGGCCUGAACCAGCCAAGUCGCGUGAGGGAUGACGGUCCUACGGAUUGUAAACCUCUUUGUCGGGGAGUAACGUGCGGGACGCGUCCCGUAGUUGAGAGUACCCGAAGAAAAAGCAUCGGCUAACUCCGUGCCAGCAGCCGCGGU
rnacentral:rRNA from 1 species